rnacentral:rRNA from 1 species
GACGAACGCUGGCGGCGUGCCUAAUACAUGCAAGUCGAACGCACUGACGUCGACAGAAGGUGCUUGCACUGGAAGUUGAUUGACGUGAGCGGCGGACGGGUGAGUAACACGUGAGUAACCUGCCCUUAAGCGGGGGAUAACAUUUGGAAACAGAUGCUAAUACCGCAUAAAAGUUGAGAUCACAUGGUCUUAAUUUGAAAGACGGCCUUUGGCUGUCACUUAAGGAUGGACCCGCGGCGUAUUAGCUAGUUGGUGAGAUAAUAGCCCACGAAGGCGAUGAGACGUAGCCGACCUGAGAGGGUAAUCGGCCACAUUGGGACUGAGACACGGCCCAAACUCCUACGGGAGGCAGCAGUAGGGAAUCUUCCACAAUGGACGAAAGUCUGAUGGAGCAACGCCGCGUGAGUGAAGAAGGUUUUCGGAUCGUAAAACUCUGUUGUUGGAGAAGAACAGGGACUAGAGUAACUGUUAGUCCUUUGACGGUAUCCAACCAGAAAGCCACGGCUAACUACGUGCCAGCAGCCGCCGUAA